GCUUGCUGGGGGGAUUAGUGGCGAACGGGUGAGUAACACGUGAGUAACCUGCCCUUGACUCUGGGAUAAGCCUGGGAAACUGGGUCUAAUACCGGAUAUGACUCCUCAUCGCAUGGUGGGGGGUGGAAAGCUUUUGUGGUUUUGGAUGGACUCGCGGCCUAUCAGCUUGUUGGUGGGGUAAUGGCCUACCAAGGCGACGACGGGUAGCCGGCCUGAGAGGGUGACCGGCCACACUGGGACUGAGACACGGCCCAGACUCCUACGGGAGGCAGCAGUGGGGAAUAUUGCACAAUGGGCGGAAGCCUGAUGCAGCGACGCCGCGUGAGGGAUGACGGCCUUCGGGUUGUAAACCUCUUUCAGUAGGGAAGAAGCCGCGAGGUGACGGUACCUGCAGAAGAAGCGCCGGCUAACUACGUGCCAGCAGCCGCGGUAAUACGUAGGGCGCAAGCGUUAUCCGGAAUUAUUGGGCGUAAAGAGCUCGUAGGCGGUUUGUCGCGUCUGCUGUGAAAGACCGGGGCUCAACUCCGGUUCUGCAGUGGGUACGGGCAGACUAGAGUGCAGUAGGGGAGACUGGAAUUCCUGGUGUA
rnacentral:rRNA from 2 species